rnacentral:lncRNA from 1 species
AUGUCCUUUCUUUCAACUGUGUUUGAAUACAACAGCAUUGGAAGCUUAGGGAGGAGUGGGAAUUUUGUUCAAGUAGAGAACAUUCAUGUAAGUAAGAUAUACCUCCAAGGAACUACCAAGGGAGCUCGGAUCAAGACAUGGCAAGUACUAAAUCAAAGUGGUAUACAUGCUCGCAUUUUAAGUUUUACUGCCUUAUUAUGA